CAAAGCAAAAACUGCCUUGACUUGCCCUCAAACAACGCUUUCUAACUCUAAAUCUAUUUGGAGUAUCAAUAUCAUUCUUUCACCGUAAGAGACAGCAGGCUUUGGUGAACAAUCAUGGAAAUUUUCAGGUCUCUGUGGAAAUCCAUUAAAAAGAUAUGACGAGAGAAAAAAGUGGUUCAUUUCCACAGUUUGAAAUCUGAAGAAAUCUGAGCGAAGGACGAAUUUCCUACCCUCAAACAAGUCUAACUCAUUUCAGAACGGUAAUAGGUGAGAAAGAAAUUCUUGAAUUGUGAGCGUCAGGAGUGUCUGAAGAUAUACGGGGACAAGCCUCAUGUUUUAACUUCGCUUUACAGCACAGAGAGAGACAGGAUUUUUGCAGUCUAUUUCUCAUAGUGAGGACUCCCCUCAAACAAACAGCCAUAAAUUCCUAACCGUAGGGGCUAAAACGGUCAUUCUUAGACCGUUGUGUUCAGAAGACAUGGGAGAAUCUUGAAAUGUUGACCAUUUAAAAUAAAAAUAUGAAAUAUCAUAGAUAUAUGACAUAGACGAUUGGUUGUCUUAGAAGCCAUGAUUGCCCCAAUAUGCAAAUUUGAAUGUGCAAGGCAUAAGAUAUGAUUGGCUGGCUGGGAAGCCAUGAAGGCAACAAUAUGCAAAUUUGAAUGUGCAAGCCCUCGGAUAUGAUUGGUUGUCUUAGAAGCCAUAUAAAAAGCAGUAAAACUGUACUAUAAUUUGGUAGAAAAACUAUAAUUAAUCAAAAAUACUAUAUUUGGCAGAAAUACUAUUUUGUAGCAGAAACACUAUAUUUAGCACAAAUCUGAUGAAAUAGAAGAAAUAGUAUGAUUUAGCAGAAAAGCUGUAUUUAGCACAAAUACUGGAAAGCAGCACAAAUGCUAUGACUUAGCACAAUAGUAAUAACCUAAAUAGAAAAAUUGGAAAAGCAAAAUGGACAGCUGAAAAAAUCCUGAACAUGCUAAGGGUCCCUCAAAUGUAAUUGUUAAAUGAAAAAAAACCAGCAAAAAAAAGUAUAACAGUCACACAACCACA
rnacentral:lncRNA from 1 species